rnacentral:misc_RNA from 1 species
CGCAAUGGGCGAAAGCCUGACGGAGCAAUACCGCGUGCGGGAGGAAGCUUUUUGGAGUGUAAACCGCUUUUCUCUGGGAAGAUAAUGACGGUACCAGAGGAAUCAGCAUCGGCUAACUUCGUGCCAGCAGCCGCGGUAAUACGAGGGAUGCAAGCGUUAUCCGGAAUUAUUGGGCGUAAAGCGUUCGUAGGUGGCUAGAUAAGUCUGUCGUCAAAGCAUGGAGCUUAACUCCAUUAAGGCGAUGGAAACUGUUUGGCUAGAGUGUGGUAGGGGUAACAGGAAUUCCCAGUGUAGCGGUGAAAUGCGUAGAUAUUGGGAAGAACACCAGCGGCGAAAGCGUGUUACUGGGCCACAACUGACACUGAGGGACGAAAGCUAGGGGAGCGAAAGGGAUUAGAUACCCCUGUAGUCCUAGCCGUAAACGAUGAACACUAGGUGUUGUCCGUAUCGACCCGGACAGUGCCGUAGCCAACGCGUUAAGUGUUCCGCCUGGGGAGUACGCACGCAAGUGUGAAACUCAAAGGAAUUGACGGGGGCCCGCACAAGCGGUGGAGUAUGUGGUUUAAUUCGAUGCAACGCGAAGAACCUUACCAGGGUUUGACAUCCUCGGAACCUUCUGGAAACGGAAGGGUGCCUUCGGGAACCGAGAGACAGGUGGUGCAUGGCUGUCGUCAGCUCGUGUCGUGAGAUGUUGGGUUAAGUCCCGCAACGAGCGCAACCCACGUUUUUAGUUGCCAGCAUUCAGUUGGGCACUCUAGAGAGACUGCCGGUGAUAAACCGGAGGAAGGUGUGGAUGACGUCAAGUCAGCAUGCCCCUUACAUCCUGGGCUACACACGUACUACAAUGCUACGGACAGAGGGCAGCCAACCAGCGAUGGUGCGCAAAUCCCAUAAACCGUAGCUCAGUUCAGAUUGCAGGCUGCAACUCGCCUGCAUGAAGGCGGAAUCGCUAGUAAUCGCAGGUCAGCAUACUGCGGUGAAUACGUUCCCGGGCCUUGUACACACCGCCCGUCACACCAUGGGAGUUGGUCACGCCCGAAGUGGUUACCCUAACCGAAAGGAGGGGGACCCCUAAGGCAGGGCUGAUGACUGGGGUGAAGUCGUAACAAGGUAGCCGUACCGGAAGGUGUGGCUGGAUCACCUCCUUUUAGGGAGACCUUAUCCACUGCAUAUCGAAAGAUGCUUCGGCAUCAGGUAAGUAGAUAGCAGUAGGUCAUCUCAAGGUCGGUCAGAGUUUUAGUGUUUGCUUCCAAACGACUGGUCUAGGUAUACCAAAGACCAAUAUGGGCUAUUAGCUCAGGUGGUUAGAGCGCACCCCUGAUAAGGGUGAGGUCCCUGGUUCGAGUCCAGGAUGGCCCACCUUCAUUGCUAUGAGGGUUUAGCUCAGUUGGUAGAGCGCCUGCUUUGCAAGCAGGAUGUCAGCGGUUCGAGUCCGCUAACCUCCACUGAUUAUGAUGCGACAACUUCGGUAAUCAAUGUUUGAUUAACAAGCCUGUUGGAUGCAUAGUCCACCACAACCAAGGAAAACUGCUUACCAGA